rnacentral:rRNA from 1 species
UACGUAGGGGGCAAGCGUUGUCCGGAAUCAUUGGGCGUAAAGCGCGUGUAGGCGGCCAGAAAAGUCCGCUGUGAAAACUCGAGGCUCAACUUCGAGCUGUCGGUGGAAACUUUCUGGCUAGAGUCCGGAAGAGGAGAAUGGAAUUCCUGGUGUAGCGGUGAAAUGCGCAGAUAUCAGGAAGAACACCCGUGGCGAAGGCGGCUCUCUGGGACGGUGACUGACGCUGAGACGCGAAAAGCCGU